UCUUGGAACGAAGCCCAGCUGUGAUCAGAUGCUAGCCUUCCUCACUAGGACGUAGGCACCAACUUCCUGCUGCUUUGUUUUUGCACAGGUGCUGUUCGAAUGCACAACGGCAGUCUCCAGCACCUUGUGUGGCUUGGUUUGCAGUGGAACUCUGUGUCAGUCUUACCCCCAGUGCGGCAACUGCUAAAGCAGCUUUUUCACUUGCCCCAGGAAACAUCAAGGCUUGAGACAGAUGCUCCUGAAUCCCUUUGCCUGUUGGACCUUGAAGUAUUCCUACUCGGGAUGGUAUUCACUUGCAACUUGGAACUGCAAGAGAAGUUGAACACUCGUGAUGAAACGCAUCAGCCACCUUUCUUACCAUUGCUGCUGUGCAAACAGUUCUCUACUGAGAAGCAAAGAUCCUGGUGGGAUGCUGUUCGUGCUCUUAUGCAGAAAAAAACAACGCCAGAAUCAGUGACAAACCUGAAGUUUCUUGUCCAGCAUGGAU